GUCCUAGCUUCGGUUGGACAUAUACUAAAAUUGGAACGAUACAGAGAAGAUUAGCAUUGGCGACCCUGCACAAGGAUGGCACGCAAAAACGUGAAGUUCCGUUUU
rnacentral:snRNA from 1 species